UCCUACGGGGGGCAGCAGUGGGGAAUAUUGCACAAGGGGGGGAACCCUGAUGCAGCGACGCCGCGUGAAGGAAGAAGUAUCUGGGUAUGUAAACUUCUAUCAGCAGGGAAGAAAGAGGACGGUACCUGACUAAGAAGCCCCGGCUAACUACGUGCCAGCAGCCGCGGUAAUACGUAGGGGGCGAGCGUUAUCCGGAUUUACUGGGUGUAAAGGGAGCGUAGACGGCCAUGCAAGCUCGGUGUGAAAGGUGCGG
rnacentral:rRNA from 1 species